UAGAGACCAGAAAAGCAUAGCAGCUUGCCACUAGAGAAGUCUCACCUCUACCAUUGCUCAGACCAAAGGGUGAUCCACUGUACCUCAGAUUGUAUCUCCAGACUGCACUGCUCACCACCAAGUCUCAGAAUCCUCGACUGCUCUCUGAGACUGCACUGAGAUACCUAUAUUCUCUCUAGUGCUGUGAUUAAAGAUGCAGAGACCCAAAGCCAGACAUUAGAUGGAGCUUGUAGAACCUUGCUGAGGACCAGAGGAUGGAUUAUAGGAGCCAAAGGGAUCAAGGACACCAAGAAAACAUGGGGCUCACAGAGACUGAAGUGACAUUUAUGGAGCCUGCAUGGGUCUGCUAUAGGUCUUUGGCAUAUAUGUUGUGAUUGUUUAGGUUGGGGUUCUUGUGGGACUCCUAACUAUGGUACUUGGAAUGUCUUUGUCGCAUUGCCUGCUAUUGGAACCCUUUUCCUCCUACUGGAUGGCUUCAUCCAGCCUUGGUAUAAAGGUAAGGCUCAGCAUCAUAGCAGGAAGAAUAUGAUGGAGAAAUGCAAUUUUCCUAAUGCAGACAAUACUUGAAAAGCACUGCUUCCCAAACGCUGGUGACCCAUCUCCAACAACUACAGCCACCAGCAUCACCUGGGAACAAAUCCAUCAACAAAGGAAGAGCCUUCAUCCAGUAGCUGAUGGAAGCAGAAGCAGGAAC